rnacentral:rRNA from 1 species
AGUGAACGCUGGCGGUAGGCCUAACACAUGCAAGUCGAACGGCAGCACAGUAAGAGCUUGCUCUUACGGGUGGCGAGUGGCGGACGGGUGAGGAAUACAUCGGAAUCUACUUUUUCGUGGGGGAUAACGUAGGGAAACUUACGCUAAUACCGCAUACGACCUACGGGUGAAAGCAGGGGAUCUUCGGACCUUGCGCGAUUGAAUGAGCCGAUGUCGGAUUAGCUAGUUGGCGGGGUAAAGGCCCACCAAGGCGACGAUCCGUAGCUGGUCUGAGAGGAUGAUCAGCCACACUGGAACUGAGACACGGUCCAGACUCCUACGGGAGGCAGCAGUGGGGAAUAUUGGACAAUGGGCGCAAGCCUGAUCCAGCUAUACCGCAUGGGUGAAGAAGGCCUUCGGGUUGUAAAGCCCUUUUGUUGGGAAAGAAAAGCAGCAGGUUAAUACCCCGCUGUUCUGACGGUACCCAAAGAAUAAGCACCGGCUAACUUCGUG